rnacentral:lncRNA from 1 species
AAGUCAUCACUGAAGAUGAUUGGGAAACCUGAAGAAAGAGAUAGCUUGUAUGUCAUGAUAGUUCUCUACACCUACUUACUUUGGUCCCUUAGCUACUAUACACUGUGAAUUCUAUAGUUUUAUCCACAAUAAAACCUAGCCCUGUUGAUAUAUGGCACUUAAGACUAGGUCACCCUUCCUUUUCUUGUUAUAACAAAUUACCAAGCAUGUAUGAUCAUAUACCUGAAUCAAAUGUACACAUUGUGAUACUUGUCACUAUUCCAAGCA